CACUUGACCGCGGGAGACUCCGCGCGGGGUGGGUGCUGCUUGCUGCAGGCUCUGGGGAGUCGCCAUGCCUACAACACAGCAGUCCCCUCAGGAUGAGCAGGAAAAGCUCUUGGAUGAAGCCAUACAGGCUGUGAAGGUCCAGUCAUUCCAAAUGAAGAGAUGCCUGGGCAAAAACAAGCUUAUGGAUGCUCUAAAACAUGCUUCUAAUAUGCUUGGUGAACUCCGGACUUCUGUGUUAUCACCAAAGAGCUACUGUGAACUUUAUACGGCCAUUUCUGAUGAACUGCAGUACUUGGAGGUCUACCUGACAGAUGAGUUUGCUAAAGGAAGGAAAGUGGCAGAUCUCUAUGAACUUGUACAGUAUGCCGGAAACAUUAUCCCAAGGCUUUAGCUUUUGAUCACAGUUGGAGUUGUAUAUGUCAAGUCAUUUCCUCAGUCCAGGAAAGAUAUUUUGAAAGAUUUGGUAGAAAUGUGCCGUGGUGUGCAGCAUCCCUUGAGGGGUCUGUUUCUUCGAAAUUACCUGCUUCAGUGUACCAGAAAUAUCUUACCUGAUGAAGGAGAGCCAACAGAUGAAGAAACAACUGGUGACAUCAGUGAUUCCAUGGAUUUUGUACUGCUCAACUUUGCAGAAAUGAACAAGCUCUGGGUGCGAAUGCAGCAUCAGAGACAUAGCCAAGAUAGAGAAAAAAGAGAACGAGAAAGACAAGAACUGAGAAUUUUAGUGGGAACAAAUUUGGUGCGCCUCAGUCAGUUGGAAGGUGUAAAUGUGGAACGUUACAAACAGAUUGUUUUGACUGGCAUAUUGGAGCAAGUUGUAAACUGUAGGGAUGCUUUCGCUCAAGAAUAUCUCAUGGAGUGUAUUAUUCAGGUUUUCCCUGAUGAAUUUCACCUCCAGACUUUGAAUCCUUUUCUUCGGGCCUGUGCUGAGUUACACCAGAAUGUAAACGUGAAAAACAUAAUCAUUGCUUUAAUUGAUAGAUUAGCUUUAUUUGCUCACCGUGAAGAUGAUGAACCUGGAAUCCCAGCGGAUAUUAAACUUUUUGAUAUAUUUUCACAGCAGGUGGCUACAGUGAUAUAGUCUAGACAAGACAUGCCUUCAGAGGAUGUUGUAUCUUUACAAGUCUCUCUCAUUAAUCUUGCCAUGAAAUGUUACCCUGAUCGUGUGGACUAUGUUGAUAAAGUUCUAGAAACAACAGUGGAGAUAUUCAAUAAGCUCAACCUUGAACAUAUUGCUACCAGCAGUGCAGUUUCAAAGGAAUUCACCAGACUUUUGAAGAUACCAGUUGACGCUUACAAAAAUAUUUUAACAGUCUUGAAAUUAAAACAUUUUCACCUACUCUUUGAGUAUUUUGACUAUGAGUCCAGAAAGAGCAUGAGUUGUUUCUGGACUUUGUCUCUCAAGACCAGGUGGAUUCCAUAAUGAAUUUGGUAUCCACGUUGAUUCGAGAUCAGCCAGAUCUACCUGUAGAAGACCCUGAUCCAGAAGACUGCUGAUGAGCAGAGCCUUGUGGGCCCUUCAUUCAUCUGCUGCGCUCUGAGGACCCUGACCAGCAGUACUUGGUAUGA